UACGGAAGGGGCGAGCGUUGUUCGGAAUCAUUGGGCGUAAAGGGCGCGUAGGUGGUUCUGUGUGUCUACUGUGAAAGCGUACAGCUCAACUGUAUUGUGUCGGUAGAAACUGCAGGACUUGAGGCUGGGAGGGGCUGGUGGAAUUCCCUGUGUAGCGGUGAAAUGCGUAGAGAUGGGGGAGAACACUCGUGGCGAAGGCGGCCAGCUAGACCAGUUCUGACACUGAGGCGCGGCAGCGUGGGGAGCAAACAGG
rnacentral:rRNA from 1 species